GACCAAGGAGUCUAGCAUGUGCGCGAGUCAUUGGGACUCUAAUUAAACCUAAAGGCGCAAUGAAAGUAAAAGUCCGUCUCGUACGGACGUAGGGAGGAUGGGACCGUUCUCGAACGGACCCCGCACUCCCGGGGCGUCUCGUUCUCAUUGCGAGAAGAGGCGCACCUAGAGCGUACACGCUGGGACCCGAAAGAUGGUGAACUAUGCCUGGUCAGGACGAAGUCAGGGGAAACCCUGAUGGAGGUCCGUAGCGAUUCUGACGUGCAAAUCGAUCGUCGGAACUGGGUAUAGGGGCGAAAGACUAAUCGAAC
rnacentral:rRNA from 2 species